rnacentral:rRNA from 1 species
AGAGUUUGAUCAUGGCUCAGAACGAACGCUGGCGGCAGGCCUAACACAUGCAAGUCGAGCGCCCAGCAAUGGGAGCGGCGGACGGGUGAGUAACGCGUGGGAAUUUUUCCUGGAGUACGGAACAACCGAGGGAAACUUCGGCUAAUACCGUAUGAUAUCGAGAGAUCAAAGAUUUAUCGCUCUGGGGUGAGCCCGCGUCAGAUUAGGUAGUUGGUGGGGUAACGGCCUACCAAGCCUGCGAUCUGUAGCUGGUCUGAGAGGACGAUCAGCCACACUGGGACUGAGACACGGCCCAGACUCCUACGGGAGGCAGCAGUGGGGAAUCUUGCGCAAUGGGCGGAAGCCUGACGCAGCCAUGCCGCGUGAGUGAAGAAGGUCUUAGGAUUGUAAAGCUCUUUCGCUCGUGACGAUGAUGACGGUAACGAGAGAAGAAGCCCCGGCUAACUUCGUGCCAGCAGCCGCGGUAAUACGAAGGGGGCUAGCGUUGUUCGGAAUUACUGGGCGUAAAGCGCGCGUAGGCGGUUUUGCAAGCCAGAGGUGAAAUGCCUGAGCUCAACUUAGGAAUUGCCUUUGGGACUGCGAGGCUUUGAGGACUGGAGAGGUGAGUGGAAUUCCCAGUGUAGAGGUGAAAUUCGUAGAUAUUGGGAAGAACACCGGUGGCGAAGGCGGCUCACUGGCCAGUUUCUGACGCUGCAGCGCGAAAGCGUGGGGAUCAAACAGGAUUAGAUACCCUAGUAGUCC